CACACCGCCCGUCACACCAUGGGAGUUGGUUUCACCCGAAGGCAGUGCUCUAACCCGCAAGGGAGGAGGCUGACCACGGUGGGAUCAGCGACUGGGGUG
rnacentral:rRNA from 1 species